rnacentral:rRNA from 1 species
UCGAUUUGGAGUUUGUUGCCCUGAGUGAUUGGGCUCCGAAGCUAACGCGAUAAAUCGACCGCCUGGGGGAGUACGGCCGCAAGGUUAAAACUCAAAUGAAAUUGACGGGGGCCCGCACAAGCGGUGGAGCAUGUGGUUUAAUUCGAAGCAACGCGAAGAACCUUACCAGGUCUUGACAUCUCCUGCAAGCCUAAGAGAUUAGGGGUUNCCUUCGGGGACAGGAAGACAGGUGGUGCAUGGUUGUCGCCAGCUCGUGUUGUGAAAUGUUGGGUUAAGUCCCGCAACGAGCGCAACCCUUAUCCUUUGUUGCCAUUGGUUCGGCCGGGAACUCAAAGGAGACUGCCGUUGAUAAAGCGGAGGAAGGUGGGGACGACGUCAAGUCAUCAUGGCCCUUACGACCAGGGCUACACACGUGCUACAAUGGCGUAUACAAAGGGAGGCGACCUCGCGAGAGCAAGCGGACCUCAUAAAGUACGUCUAAGUCCGGAUUGGAGUCUGCAACUCGACUCCAUGAAGUCGGAAUCGCUAGUAAUCGUGAAUCAGAAUGUCACGGUGAAUACGUUCCCGGGCCU